rnacentral:rRNA from 1 species
GAUGAACGCUGGCGGCGUGCCUAAUACAUGCAAGUCGAGCGAACAGACGAGGAGCUUGCUCCUCUGACGUUAGCGGCGGACGGUUGAGUAACACGUGGAUAACCUACCUAUAAGACUGGGAUAACUUCGGGAAACCGGAGCUAAUACCGGAUAAUAUAUUGAACCGCAUGGUUCAAUAGUGAAAGACGGUUUUGCUGUCACUUAUAGAUGGAUCCGCGCCGCAUUAGCUAGUUGGUAAGGUAACGGCUUACCAAGGCAACGAUGCGUAGCCGACCUGAGAGGGUGAUCGGCCACACUGGAACUGAGACACGGUCCAGACUCCUACGGGAGGCAGCAGUAGGGAAUCUUCCGCAAUGGGCGAAAGCUUGACGGAGCAACGCCGCGUGAGUGAUGAAGGUCUUCGGAUCGUAAAACUCUGUUAUUAGGGAAGAACAAAUGUGUAAGUAACUAUGCACGUCUUGACGGUACCUAAUCAGAAAGCCACGGCUAACUACGUG